UUUAUAACCGAUGAAACUUUGCGUAAAAAGCAAAGCGAUGAAACCGAUUGGAUUUUAAUAUUGUGGCGAGUGGAUUUCAGUUCAGUGCAUCUGCUUUCAGGUUUCCUCCCCUACUCAUUAGCCCCAAUUUGAUUCCUUUUUAUUUUUAUUUUAAGGUGUUCUCCAUCAAUUCCAAGUUUUAGUAAAAAAGGUUUGUUUACUAAAAACUUCAUGGUUUUUCUGCUGAAUCAAUGAUAUAUGUCUGUUUACUCCAAUGGAGUGAAUCGAUGAUGUAUGUACAUAUUGUUAAAACAAUAGUUUUACAUGUUCUUUUUCGUUGUCGGACAAAGGGUAAAAUGGUAACAUUUGAACAUUCCAUCCAAUAAUGUAAGGCAAGUGAAUUCCAUAACUGAGAUAAAAAAAAACAUAAUUUUGAAUGGAAUGUUUUCUAAAUCCGUUAUGUAAUCCAAUUAAUUGCGCGAACCAAAUGAACCCGAAGGUAAAUAUUCAAUUCAAUCAAUACAUUAGUGUGCAAAUCAAAUAAACCAUUACCUUGUUUGCUU
rnacentral:lncRNA from 1 species